UACCAGCCCCCUGAGUGAUAGGGACGACUAUUUAGCCUAAAGCGUCCGUAGCCGGCUUAACAAGUCUUUCGUUAAAUCUGACGAUUCAAUCGCCAGACUGCGGAAGAUACUGCUAGGCUCGAGGGCGGGAGAGGUUGACGGUAGUCCCGGGGUAGGGGUGAAAUCCUAUAAUCCCGGGAGGACCACCAGUGGCGAAGGCGGUCAACUAGAACGCGCCUGACGGUGAGGGACGAAAGCUGGGGGAGCGAAC
rnacentral:rRNA from 1 species